UUGUUUGUUUGCGGGAGCAAAGGAUAUUUCUGAGCUGAGAUUCAAUAUUUUACCGAAAACCGCUAGAACCUGAUCAUGGUAAUUCAUGCGUGAGGGAAUAACAACAGGACCGAUG
rnacentral:ncRNA from 1 species